ACGUCAUCGCCGUGCUUACUCAGUCUCCUAGCAACAGGAAACAUCUGCCUCCGCGACGACCAAUGAGGGCGCGGCAGGAGCGGAGUGUGUUGUGUCUUGUUGCCGUGAAGGGGGAUAUUUUAGGCGGCUGCAGAGCGGUGAGCGUGUCAACCCGGAGCUGGAUCUGUCUGCACCGCUGUCAGCAGGAGCCGAGCCAGGGAGUCGAGCCAGGGAGCCGCGCACUUCAGGCCGAGCUGGAGCGUCGCUGAGUCGGUGUGGGGACGGGAGGCCUCAGCUGGGACAGAAUCAUUUAAAGGGGUCCGAGGGCGAUGUGCAGGCUCAGGUCGACUUGGACGCACUGAUUCAAAGUCCAGUCAGAGAGCUGAGUGCUGGCUGUGCACCGUCAGCAGCAGCAGCCCCGUCCCUGUGAGAGAGACCAAACCAUUCAACGACGUCGAAAGUUGCUUACUUCAAGCGGAAAUAUGCGGAGGAGGAAGAUUUACAUGGAGGCCUCCAUGGAUAUUUUCAAAAACACUUGAUACUGCAGGAGGACCGGAGCUGCAUCCUGAAGCUGUCCCUGGAGAAGCUCAGGUUCCUGGAGGACCCCGAGGCCUACCUGCGGCGCUCCGUCCUCAUCAACAACCUGCUGAGGAAGAUCCACCAUGAGGAGGAGGAGCUGGAGGCUGAGGAGGAGGAGGAAGAAGAUGAUGAAGUAGAAGAAGAGGAGGAUGAAGAAGAAGAAGAGGAGGUUACUGGAGAGAGAGGGCAGCGGACGCUGAUGUACCCGAACAGGAAGAGGGUGAAGGUGCUGGUGACGGACUGCUGCUCUCCAGCGUUUGGCCUGGAAGAGCUUCAACAUUACCGACUGGUGCCCUCAGCCGGAUGCCUGUACAGCCUGGGCACCUGCCCAGGACUUGCCCCCAACCACCAGGUCCUUCUCUACAACCUGGAUGACAAUGGCUGACUCGGCAGACCUCACUGCCUCUUUUCACAAAGCUGGGAUAUACAAACAUGAACUGUUUGUUCACAAUCAACAUGAAGAAACCUGCUGUGGUUUCCCUUCAGUUUACCACUAACACCCCUUGAGGAACAUCUGUUGUGGGCUCUGUUUUGUGCGUCGGCAGGAUGGCGCCUCCUCUUGUCACCUUGCUAGGAGGUAAAGAGGGAUUUAAGAAGCUUAGAGACCCUGAUUCUUCAGCCUCAGGGUCCACGGGGUCUCUGAUGUUCGCAGGGUCACUGCCAUUUACUAUUUGUGCAAAUGUGACAGACUGAGCGGGCAGGAUGUUUUUAGCUGUUGCUGUUGUGUCAUUGAUUUCUAUUGUUAUUGUUGCUCAUGUGAACUGUGAGCACAUUCAGGGAUUUACAGCCUGCAGGUUUUGAUGCACAUUGGCUUGCGUGGAGAAUAUGUGCUGAUACGCUUCUGUUCUGUUUUUACGCUACUGUGUGAUUUAUGAGAUUUUCUGUAUGACAUUCCCUGGACUGUGUGAAUUGUCGUGCUAUCUCAAGAGCUCAUGAUUGUCAUUCUGUGUGAAAGGUGCUUUCACUGCCUUUCUCUAGGCUAUUUGAGGUCAUGUGUUCACUCUCUAUGCUGUUAGUUUCAUUUGACGUCACUUUGCUGCCCUCUGCUGGCAAAGGACUUAAUCUUCAAACCCUGGUUUGUAGCUGAUGUGUUCGUAUCUCACAGUGAAAGUGAGAGAGAGAUAUAACGGAGCCACUUUAAGGGGAAAAGACGGGGAUUACAGUAAAAUGCUGAUGAAAAGGUUCAUUCAUUAUCUGUGAUGAGAGGAUACACAUUUAUGCUUUAUAUUGCUUUAAAAAAAGACCAAGCCACAAUGUUCCUCUGCUACCAAAUAUCGUUUUUGUGAAUGAGUUUCAGCUUCUUUUUUCUUUAAAGCUGAAUAUUGGAGAGCAGAAUGUUUCUAAAGUUAUGACACGUAUUUUCCUACUAUGAGCCCUGAUUAAAACAGCACAGCGCACUGAGUUUUGAAAUUGUCAGAAAAUAUUUUAUUAUGUAAUGUGGCACAAUGUGUGCUUUAUAAAACAGACUAAUCUGCUGUAUGGCAACAAUAAUUAAUUCUCUUUUCAGUGUCACUCUAUGUGUUUUGAGUCUAUGUCUGAGAGUUUUACGAAGUUUGGAAAAUACGGAUCUUAUAACAAUCACGACAAUAAAAAAUAUGACAUUACUACAGUAAAUAAAAUUACAGAUUAUUUUAAAACAACAGCUUAAUAUUUUGAUGAAAUAUGUAAGGUGACAGAUGUGUGCUUUUAUGCAUCGUUGUGUAGCUACACAAGUAGUAGACGCAUUUUAACUAUUUGCACACUAUUUUAAU